AUAGACAUGCAAGUCGAGCGAACAGAAGGGAGCUUGCUCCCGGAUGUUAGCGGCGGACGGGUGAGUAACACGUGGGUAACCUGCCUGUAAGACUGGGAUAACUCCGGGAAACCGGAGCUAAUACCGGAUAGUUCCUUGAACCGCAUGGUUCAAGGAUGAAAGACGGUUUCGGCUGUCACUUACAGAUGGACCCGCGGCGCAUUAGCUAGUUGGUGGGGUAAUGGCUCACCAAGGCGACGAUGCGUAGCCGACCUGAGAGGGUGAUCGGCCACACUGGGACUGAGACACGGCCCAGACUCCUACGGGAGGCAGCAGUAGGGAAUCUUCCGCAAUGGACGAAAGUCUGACGGAGCAACGCCGCGUGAGUGAUGAAGGUUUUCGGAUCGUAAAGCUCUGUUGUUAGGGAAGAACAAGUGCGAGAGUAACUGCUCGCACCUUGACGGUACCUAACCAGAAAGCCACGGCUAACUACGUGCCAGCAGCCGCGGUAAUACGUAGGUGGCAAGCGUUGUCCGGAAUUAUUGGGCGUAAAGGGCUCGCAGGCGGUUUCUUAAGUCUGAUGUGAAAGCCCCCGGCUCAACCGGGGAGGGUCAUUGGAAACUGGGAAACUUGAGUGCAGAAGAGGAGAGUGGAAUUCCACGUGUAGCGGUGAAAUGCGUAGAGAUGUGGAGGAACACCAGUGGCGAAGGCGACUCUCUGGUCUGUAACUGACGCUGAGGAGCGAAAGCGUGGGGAGCGAACAGGAUUAGAUACCCUGGUAGUCCACGCCGUAAACGAUGAGUGCUAAGUGGUUAGGGGGUUUCCGCCCCUUAGUGCUGCAGCUAACGCAUUAAGCACUCCGCCUGGGGAGUACGGUCGCAAGACUGAAACUCAAAGGAAUUGACGGGGGCCCGCACAGCGGUGGAACAUGUGGUUUAAUUCGAAGCAACGCGAAGAACCUUACCAGGUCUUGACAUCCUCUGACACCCUAGAGAUAG
rnacentral:rRNA from 1 species